rnacentral:tRNA from 1 species
GUUCUUGAGGUGUAGAAUGCACAUUAGGUUUUCAUCCUAAAGGAAUAAAUAGGAAUUUAUCUAGAAUA